AAAAAGAUACUUGAAACGAAUAUUUCCGUCCUCCGUAUAAUCUGUAUGGACUGUGGACAGCGUACCUGGAUUAGUUGUCCUCAACAGGUGGAGAUAUGUCUGCAGAAACUUAUAACCUUCUUCCUCACUGCAACGAGCUUUCUU
rnacentral:sRNA from 1 species